ACGAAUUUUUUAUUGAUUUAUUGUAUAUAGAAAUUAAGCCUAAAGAUAUAUAAUUUUUAAUUUAUUUUCAACUAUUAAAAGAGAUAUUUUCAAGAAUAAAGAAAAUUAAAUUCAAAGUCAAAUCUAUAUAUGGUAAGAGUUUCACUGAAUUGCGGCUGGAAUCUCCACAGUAAUUAGAAACAAACAAGUCCACAUGUUUGUAUGCAGCAACAGCAUCGAUGUCUGAAAGUUUAUAAAUAAUAAUAGAAUGGAAAAUUUUAAUUUUUAAUUUUAAUUAGCUUAUAAAUUAUUUUGUUUUUCAAUUUAGUCUUUUAAUUCUUGAUUUGUAUUUUAGCUGAGUUUCUUCGUCUAACCCUUAUUAAUAAAUUAAUGACAAUGAUCUAUUUAAUUAUAUAACAAAUAUAAGUUCAAAAAAGAAUUAAUUAAAAAAAAUUUAGAAAUCUAAUUAAUAUUUUAUAUAGUUAAUUCAUUUUUUCAACAAUUCUUGAAUUCUUCACAAGCUUUUGUGAUCUUCUUUCGAUACGUACUCUGUCUACCUGUUGCUUCUGAAUCCACUGUUACUUAAUCGUUCAAAAUGAAUAUAUAUUAAUGGACUGAGUUAAAAAUGUAUUUCUUAGAAGACUAUACCUCUAAUAUCUUUAUGCAUGCCUCUAAAUUUUUAUAUCAUAAAAUUUAAAAUGUGUUUUUUAUUUUAUAUUUCAGAAGAUUAUAUAAUUUGGAAUAUAAUAUUUUUUAAAAUUAUACAAUUUAAUAUAUAAAAAUUAUGUUUUAAAUCAUACGGUCUAAAUAUAAAUAUAUUUCAGAUUAUAAAUUUAAAAUUUAUUGUGUAUUUUAUAUUUUAGAAUAUAAAAAUUUAUAUACAAAUUAAAAAACUUAUGGAGGUGCAAAUUCAAAUGGAGGUGAAAAUAAAAAGGUGCCCAAUAUGAAAAAAGGCUGGGUCGAACAAAGUUGAGUCCCGGGAAUGGAGUCUCUAGAAGAGAAAAAAUAAAAUAAAACAAAAUAUGGAGAGAUUGAUGUUAUCUAUUGUUAGAAGUGGACUUUAAGCCUAACUCAAUCCCACAAAACCGGCUUGUAGGGUGAGGUUUGCACCCACUUAUAUACACUUAAAUGACCUUAUCUCUAGUCGAUGUGGGACUUCCAACACCCCCCUCACGCCGAGGUAUAUACAUCUCGAGCGUGGGACUAGACAUUAAUGGGUGGUCCGAUAGCGGCCCGAUAGCGGGUGGAACAACAUGCCCAACUAUUGCUAAGAUAGGCUCUAAUCAUGGCUCUGAUACCAUGUUAGAAGUGGACUUUAAGCCUAACUCAACCCCACAAAACCGGCUUGUAGGGUGGGGUUUGCACCCACUUAUAUACACUUAAAUGACCUUAUCUCUAGUCGAUGUGGGACUUCCAACAUCUAUUUUUGUAAGAUCAAGCAUAAAAUUAUUCAAUUAAAAGUAUAUACGAAAAUUAAAUAUUUUCAUCAUAAUAACUAUUUGAAAAAGGCACUCAGUCCCUUAUUAGAAUCAAAUUUAAUUAAAAGUAACUGUUUGAAAAUUGAGUCAUAUUUUUAUAUUCAGAGCUUUGAUUAUGAGAUAGGUUUCAAAAUUAGUGGAUGGAUAAAAUAGUAGAAAAAAUCAUGUAUACCAAAAUUGCAUAUCUUUUUGUUAAGAGUGUAGAUGUUAAUUAGAUUUAAUUAUCUAUUAAUUCUCACUAUUUUUUAUUUAAUUUAAUUUAAUUUUUAGUUAUAUUUUUAAUCAAAUAUUUUAAUUUUUGAGGACGUAAAACUGUAACUACUUUCUAUCCAACCAAUAGUAAAAACAUUAAUAAUUAAAUAUUGAUGGAUGAAAAUGGGAUGAGAAAAAUUGCUUAAAUAGAUUUGAUCUGGCUAAAAUAUUCAAAAUCUAAUGAGUACUUUUGUCAUAAACUUAAUUUUUAGGUCUAUCAUAAAUCCAGUUUGGUCUAUUUCAUUUUUUUAGGUUUUAAAAUUGAAUUAACCUAUUUACAAAUAAAGCAAUAUACUAAUAAGAUAAUGAAAUAAAUAGUUAUAUGUUAAAUACAUUAUAAAUAAUAAAAUUUAAAGUGAAAAAAACUUUGACUUGAUAUAAACUAGUUUGUACCUGAAUGCCCUUUAAUCUUACUCUUUUGAUUUGUUCUUUCUAAUUUUCUUUUCAUGCCAUUUUUUUUUUGCAAGUAAAAAAUAAUAAUAUAAUCUCCCGAUUAAAAAAAUAUUACUUGUAAAAGACUAUUAACUUUACAGAUUAAUAGAUGCAGGAUUUUUUAAAUUCCUGAACAUUCAAAUGUGUUAAAUUCUAUGAAAAUUUUACUUACUAUAAUUCUUGAGCAUGGUUGUUUCCAGUGACAGAUCUCUAAUAGAUGUUUUUGGAGAUAUGGAGUUUUUUAAUUGGCAAAACUUUUAGGAGUUUAAAUAUAUAUAAUAUAUUAAAAUUUAAAAAAUAUAUUUUUAUUUAUAUAUGUGAAUGAUCUUUAAGAAAUAUUUUAGUGUGUAAAAUUUUUCUUUGUAGAUAUAUAUAAAAGUUUUUAGAAGUAUCAAAUAUAUAAAAUAUAAUAAAAUUAGAAAAUAUUUUUAUUUAUAUAUGUGUGAAAAAAAAGAUUGGUAGAUUUUAAAAUAUCAACAUAGUUGAAAGUAAUGUUUAUGGAAAAAGAAUUUAUAAAUGUGAAAUAUAUAAAAUAAGAAAAAUAUUUAUAAAAAAAAUUACAUUUACUUUGGAAAAAGAUAUGUAGAUAUAUCAACAAAAUGUUCUUCAUUUGAGAAUGAAUAAAAGUGAAACUUACAAUCUUUCCAGAUACAAAAUGCACAAACUCUUCAACCUUUACAACUUGUAUGUUUCUCUUCUUUAUGAUUCCAAUGUCAUGAAUCUAACUUUUUGUGGUAUUUAUAGCCCAAUUUGGGUUCACAACUCAAAAUUGGCUGAUGAAAUGAACAGAAGAGUGGUUUUUGCUAGCCUGUGAGAGUUGACAUUGAUGAUGGUGGUGCAAUAGAGAGCUACCACUCUUGAUGGAGAAGCAUAAACUAUUUCAUGGUCCCAAAAUUGGAAAUAAAAAAUACAGAAAGAAUCAAAAUGUCAAGUUUAGAUGUCACUAUUAGAUUAAUAAUAUGUCAUUAUUUAUUCAUUAUUUUAAAGUAUCCAACCACAUCAUCGUACUACUUAAUACAACCAGAACGGAAAAAGAAAGCCACGAAAAAGAAAGAAAAAAUUGUACUACAAUGUAAAAGGAAAAAGUUAUUUUAACAACACUUUUUUAACAACUUUUUUACAACGUAUACGUGACAGCUUGUGAUUGGUCCGUUUUAAACAUUUUUUAAAACAUAAAUUUAAAUAGACCAAUAAAGUGAUGACACAUGUACAAUUGUCAAAAAAGUUAUAAAAAAAUAUUGUCAACCAAUGUAAAAAUAGUAUGCAAUGCUGACAUGUGUCUAUAUUUGGACAGUUUUGAUAUAGUAGAGAAUAGUAUGGUGCCACUUCACACUUUUAUACUUUUGUAUGUGAACAGUUUGUUGUAUUGUUUCAAAUGUUUGUCUUUUUUUUUCUUUUUUAUAAUUAUUUGGAGAUAAAUGACAAUUGAAUGUGAUUAGACUACAUUUCUUUUUCAUUUUUUAUUAUAUAUAAAAAUUCAUUAAGUUACUGAUACUUAUUGUGUUUAAAAUGAAAGUAGUUUUCAUUUAGUUAAACUAUAAAAAAUUGUCAUAAGACAAAACAACCUACACAGCUUGGGAAAUUUUCUAUUAGCAUGAAAGAACAAAUUUGUUUAUUUGUGUGGCAAUUAUGGCAGGGUUUGUAAAAUAAUAAGAUAGAAAAUAAAAAGAGGUAGAUCAAACUAAACCAUUCUUAUAACAAACAAUAAUUAUAUAAGAUAAAAUUAUAAAUAAAAAAAUAUUAAAGAGUUUAGAUUGAAACAUACAAAUUACUGUUCUUAGAUAAAAAAAUAUCUUCACUGUACUAAUAGAAUAAUAUAUACUUAUCCCAAAAUAUAACAGAUCGAUCAAGUGCAGUUAAUAAUUCCUAAAUUUUAUGAGCACCAAUAUUUUAAAAAGAAGUAUAGAACAAAUUAAUAUUUUUAUAUGAACUUGUGUUUGUUGUUUAUUUUCCUCAUAUAAAUAGGUGAUAUUCAUAGUUAAGAGAAAAUGAUUUAAGAGUCCAUUAUAAUUAAUAUAAUUUAAAAAAUAGUAAUUUGUAAUCAAUAUUGUGAAAAUAAAAUAAAUGUAAAAAGUCGUUCAACAUAAAAACAAUUAUAACAGUAGAAUUUUGUUUUAUUUUUAAAUUAUACUAAUAGUUUCUAACAAUAACUGCUAAUUUGUUUUUUAAACAUGAUAACAUUUUGAGAGAAUAUAGGUGAAGAAAAAAUAUUGUGUAUAAAAAGAAAAAAAAGAAUAUAGUUUUGGUCCAAGCAUGGUGCAGAAGGUUACCUAUGAAGCCAACUCAAAGUCUUGGAAUUUCUAAGCAUUUUUUCGGCAUCUUAUACCAAAUAAAUUUCCAAUCAUAUUAAUCCAAAGUGAAAAAAGGGACGUGAUGAAUAUUUUUACCAAGCACAUUAACAUUAAGUAGUCAUGUUAACAAACUUAUUUGAAAUUUAGGAAGUGUAAUGAUGUUUGAUCACUCAUUUCAGUCCAAUAUUAGCUUUUGACUCCACCCUUUUGCUGACUUCAACAGUUGGAGUCUUUCCAUUUGACGUUACUGAAGAUUUUUGAACAGCUACCAAAGGAAACGUUUGGGUGUGAUUUGUUCAACAUAUCCAAGAGCCACAAUGGAGAAAGACCAGUCUCCAGAGUUUCAACUCUUGUACAUGCUUCCUUAUGAGCUGAAUUCUUCCGUGUUUAACUGUCACAAGAUUUGGUCACAAUAUCAAGCAUUCUUUAUUGCAUCACAUGUUGCAUUUGGCAUCAGAUUUGCUUUAAAAGGGUAAUCAACUGAAGUAAUUGAGAUGAUGAAAAUGAUAAUGAUCUUACCUAUUAGGUACAAAUAUGCUACGCCUUAGAUACCAAAAGAGAAGUUGUUCUUUAGGCUGAAAACCUUUAUUUAUGUGAUCACACAUGUAUGGUCUCAUUUAUUAAGGGAAAUUCUUACGCAAAAAUAAUUCUUUAAAAGCACUCUCUAUGUAUAUAUUUCUUCAAAGGGCACAGAACUUCAUCCUAAUCUUAAAACAUUUGUUGCCUAAGAUGGCUUUCCAAACCUUAAUUCCACUUUAGACGAUCAAAGUGAAAGAGGUGCUUCCGCACAUGGUAUACAUGGAUGCAGUAGAGGAGUGCAGCUAAUGUGACUGCUAGAAAUGAUAAAAAUGUCAGCUUCCAAAAAUCCUGAAAAGUCAAACAGAUAAAAAGAAGCAUGACCAACAUAAUUGAGAUUUUCUUAUAAGCAUUAGAUUCAAAGCAAUAACCAUAAUAAUAACUGAAAAGCCCUAUCAAGAAGUAGGCUACAUGACCACAUGAUGCUAUUCAAUAUGAUUACAAAUAAAAUCUUCAAAUGAAAUCUUGGGGUUGGCUACAAUAGAGGAACAAUUACUCUUCAAUAGAAUAUCCUAAUUUAUAAUAGAUAUAAUCUAUCCCUACAAUUCAGGAUCAACAAUCCUGUACAAUAAAUAUAAAAUAUACCAUUAGCAUUUAAUCCUCCUAAUUAUGAAAUGUAAUUAAAUCUCCCAAAAAUGUUAACUCCAGCAUAAAUCAAGGGAUUUUGACAAUUGCAAUUAUAUCAAAGGUUCUAGUUGGAUUUGGGAAGUAGUACAUUAAUGUGAAAGGUAAAGGAAAAAUAGCAAUCUCAACCUCUUGAGGUACAAAGUUCAUUUAUGAAGCGUUGGAGGUUCCUAAAGUGGAUAAAAUUUAUUAGCGUUGGACAAGUAGUUGAAAAGGGUUAUAAAGUGUUGUUUGAAAACAAAUCCUGCACAAUUGAAGAUGUCUAUGGCAAAGAUAUUUUUCCAGAAUGAAGAAGAAAAGUUUGAUUUAAAUCCAUUAGAGGAGCAAACUGAUUUUUUAAUAGAAGAGGAUAUAACUCAAUUUUGGCACAAGAAAGAAGAAACUGAAGAAAACAAGUUGGUUCUAUAGUAGCAGCCCCCAAGUCCAGAAGGAGUGCUGCAGAAGCAAGGUUGGUAGAAGUAAAGGAACAAGCUUAGUCUUCUCAAGAGUAGUUGGAUGAGUGGAAGAGGAAGUAUGAUGUCGUCAUUAGAGAAGCAAAAUGUGCUUUAGUGAAAGUUGAAAAGGUUGAGCAUGAUGAGAAGUGUCUAAAAACUUUGAAUUUAGAGUUGAAGACUAUUGAAACAAAGAUAAGAAGUUCUGUAAUAAAAUGUUUUCACUAAUGAUUGAAAUUAGAGUUGAUUGAGAAGUUAAAAGUUGAAAACGCAGAAAUCCAAUUAUAUCAAAAGGAAGAGAUUGUAUUUCAACAAGAGAAAACUAUUCUUGAACAAAAGAUCCAAAUCAUUCUGAGUCAGCAGAUUAAAUUUUUGAGGGAGAAACUUAGAGUUUGCAUCCUCCAAUGCAAGGAGUGUUAUAAACCUGCCUUAGAUACUAUCAAAGCAGUUUUAACUUCAUUUUGAAUAUGUCAAUUAUUAAAUUGAUAAGAGUAUGUUAUCUUGUUUCUAGUUGUCAGUGUGUUAGUUUCAUAUAUUAUUAUUCAGCUAUCAGUAGCAACUCCUACAAUCACAGAGCAAGAUUUCUAAGUUAUUUCGAUGAAUACAAGCCAGAUUCAAUAAAAGAUUUAGGGUUUUUGCAAUCCAUAAUUUUUUAUGUUGUUUCCUGGAUCUAUUUUUUUUCUUAUAUCCUUAAACAAAAACCAACAGUUGUGGUGCAAAAGCUUGGGAGUGUUCCAAUAAUGGAGAUGCAUCUGACAAAUUGUUGUCUAAAAAGUAAAUUUUCAGCUGUAAAAUUAGAUUAACUGGGGGUCCUAUUGUUAGAUCUAAUUUGAUGUUAGUGAAAUUAGAGAAUUCUGUCAGAAGUUGAAAAUUGAUGAGAUACUCAGAAAGUCUUUUAUCAACGACCUAAAGGAAAACCUAUAAGUAGCAAGUAUAUAUAAAAAAAUUGAAUACUUCGGGUAGGACAUGGAUGUUAAAAACUCACCCGUGGAUCAGAAAUUAUGAUUCCCAUAACAUAGGCCAAUAAGUCCAUCAAAGAUUGAAGUGAGUUCUGGACACCCCCAACAAUCAAACGAUCAGAUUCAGGAACAAGAUCCUAUGCCAAAAAAAUUAAUGAAAGAGAAGUGAGGCCAAGAUGACUAUUAAGAAAGAACUUCAGUGAUUGAUCAUAGACAUUUUAAAAAUAAAAUAUUUAGGAAAAUUUGAAUAACACCAGGUAAUAAAGGUAACUUGCCUGCAUUUGUUGAAGCACAGACAAAUCAAACAUCCACAAUCCAAGGCGAGAAAUGGCUACACUUCCCAUAAGAAUAUAUGAUGAUAGAAAGCCCCUAUGGAUCCAUAUUGCAGCUAUACAUGGAAUGAGGCAAGUCCACUGCAAUUUAAUGCACAACAUACAUAAACAAGGACAAAACAGAUCGGUAGGAAUAACCCAUUUAAUGAAACAACCUAUAUACUAUUGUUACAUCAAUAAUACAUUUUUUUUUUCAGUUCACAUAAAAUUGAAUAAUAUUUGACUGUUACUCAUCAUUUAUAGAGAACAUUUUAGUGCCAUUCAUUACUUAAUUUAUACCUGAGACCAUACAGACCAAAGUCCUGCUCUAAUAGUUGAUAUUUGAGACUGUAGCAUAGGAUAUGCAACUGUUGCUGCAAUUCCAAUCGUAGCACUUAUUCCUCUUGCCAUUCCAAUAACAAAUGCAGGUAUACCUUCCCAUUCUAAGGUGGCUGUCAUCAAAGUUCCAAAGCUGAGGAAAAAAUUGAAAUUUUAUCAAUGACUGUUAUUAGAAUAUAAAACAGAAAAAUAUCUUUAUCUUGAUUCUAAUAACUCUUCAUGCUCAACAAACAGCAAAAAAAUGCAAGACAUGUUUCUACGUACAGAGAAUAGUACAAAAUUCAAAGGGCAAGCUUCAAAAAUAAACUAGAUAUUUUAAGCAUUAUUGGAAAAGGCUAAUUCUGAGUAUUUUUUUUUUUCAUGUAAUAUUUACUUGCUACACUUUAUUUGCAGGCUUUCACCUGAGUACAGUGAAAUAUAGCAAAGCCAGAGCCAUUCCAGGAAGGGCAACUUCUUGCUUUAAAUAAACUUUCCAUGCAGCAACAUAAGGAAUUUCUGAGAUCUUCUCACGAAGUUUUUUACUGUGUUUUCUAUCCACCAAUUCUGAGCUACCAGCAGUAACAGAAAGCAAGCUAUCUUCCUCCAAAGUUGGAUUGCUUCUUUGUUGAUCACUUUGUGAUAGUCUUGCCAUCCUCCUCUGGCUACUUUCGCCUAAUGCUGGAAUCCCAUUAUAUACAGAUGUGAAAAGCCAAUACUCCACCCAAACGGACACAGUAUUCCACAGUGCUAAAGUUAUAGCAGAUGCUUUUAGUGAAACGAAGCUUAUAAUAAACCCAGUAAUAACUGGAGCAAGAAGUUUGCAGGUUAGAUCAAUGCGUCUCAUAACUGAAUUCAUCUUUGUCAGCAAUUCUGGGGGUUGACCUUCCGCUAUAACUAACAACCUGUAUAAUAUAAACAAGAACAAUAUCAUGUUCUUCACAAAAAUAUUUAUUCUCCAUUUAAUUAAGCACCCCUAAAAAUUCAGUUUAAAGACAUUAGAUUAUGUAGUAUGAGCAAAGGCAUUACAUUCUGAACUGACAUAAUAGAGGUGGUAACCAUGCUUGGAAAUAUCAUGUUUCCUUUACUGGGCACAAUUAAACUACUUGAAAACCAGAAGAAACUUAGAAUAAUUAAUAUUCUUCUGAGUUGUAAAUUUGAAAGGUAGUAAAGAAAACAAUUAAUUUUACCAUUCUCUUUCAAUCAAGAUUGUGCCGGCAAGGGUAGAAAGCACACCAAUGCCACCACAGAUAUUGAUGGUCCAUAACAGUAAUGUGAAAACUGAAAAAUUUGUAAACUUCAAAGGUGAGUUGACGAGUAAAACAACUACAGUUGCCCCGGCAAUAACAAAAGAGAGAUUUUGUGUCACCAACCACAACUGCAAAACCUGCCAAUAAAGUAUGCUGACAGAGUUAUUUCACCAAAGACACCUUGAUCUUCACCAUCAAAUAAUUAAGAACCAAAUUUAAAUAACUAAAGCUACCUCUGUCAGAUAUUGCUAUAUUCUUUUUCAUCUUUGAAUUAUUCAUCUCUUAUUCUUUAGAUAAUUCUUGAAAAGAUUUUGGCAUUUCACAUGCAUAUGCUGUUAGAAUCUAAGGUCUUAAAGAAUCUGAUGGAUAGUGAAGUCCAGAAACAGAACGAAGGUUUAAGCAAAGAAUUAUACGCCACAUCUUAACCAAAAUUUAUGGCAUCAUGUUUAUAAGCUGUUUCACUUAUAUAACCCUCUCUUUACCCAUCUCUUUCUAUUUUAUAGGGCUUCUUCAUUCGUACACAAAUAAUAGUAAAGCUGAAAAACGAUAGACCAAACACAAAAGUAGCCUGUCAAUACUGGACCCAUUAAGUAGAAUAAAAAAAUCUUAAGUUAUCGUUUAGCUUUUAGCAAAAGGACAGAAAGCUUUACAGGUCAGAAGCACUAGUAGUCCUUGAAUAAAAGCAUAUAAGCUAAUUAGUAAUACUUUGGGCUCACACCUUCACAUAAGACAACUUAUCAACCCAUCUUCCAAUUAUGGGGCCAAACAGUGCAAUGGAGGCAGACUCAAUGGCACCAUAUAUUGCAGCAUACAACAAAGAGUCUGGCCAUAUGUUGACCAUAUAUAAACCAACAGAGAAUUCCCACAUCCUGAAACACAGAUGCACAAUGAAUUUUAGUAGCAAAAACCAAACCAAACCAAACAAAAUAGCGCAGCCCAAUCCCUAGGAAACAGUGAUUUUGAAAAUCUCAACUCCCAAGCCAAGAAAAAAUGAUCCUAAUUGACUGACUAACUCACAGACACCUUCCAUGCAUGUAUAUUAUAUCUUUAUCUAAUGUGGUCUAUUUCCCAGCUUGGUACAAUUAAGGGUAAUUGAUACAGUUAAAUCACACAUCCCACUAAAAAAAUUUAUCAUUUCAUAGCACAAACAACAAUUUCAAUUCAUCCGCUUUGGUAACAGGGCAGAAACCCAUUUUCCUACUCAGGAUAAUUUCCAAAACUACAAAGAAGAAAAAGGAAAAUUUUCUUUGCAUUCUUGUAAAAAUGAAAUCAAUUAAGCACCGGAAACAAUAGCUAUCAGUGGCCUAUCUAUCAAUAAUAUUUGAGUUCAAAUAAUUAAAUCAAUGGUGAGAGGUGAAAGGAAAACCUGGCAUCCCAUCUAGCUAAGAAGUGACCAAUAUACAAAUGCUUGAUCAGAGAAGAUGAAGUUUGCUGUUCUUUGGCAAGAAAAGGCUCUCUUGUCAAUGUGAUGCUUUCUUCCAUAUCAGAUUCUUUCUUACCUUUCACUCACUCCAUUGACCAUUAAACUCUAGACAAGCAACAGCAUGCAGUUUAUGUUAUCGUCCCCAUUUGAUAAUGAUAGUCAGUGAUAAAAAAAAGUAUAAUAAUAAUAAUAAUAAUAAUAAUAAUAAUAAUAAUAAUAGAAUAAUAUAGCACAUAGAAAUUAGAGUGACGCAAUUCUCUUAAAGAGGUUUUAUCUGUGUUGAAACUUUUAUUUUUGAAACUUUAAAAUAUUUUAGUGAAAUUAAUUUAUUUAUGAUCUAUAAUAAGAUUAGGUGAACAACAUAAUACAUUAUAUACCCUAAGAAGAAAACAUUAUAGGAUGUCGUGUAAGUUUUAUUUAAAGAAGGAUGCAUAAGUAAAAGAAGUUUUUCUUUUAAUAUUAUUUAAAUGUAUUUUAUAUUUAAAGUGCUAUAUAAUAAAAUGAUGGAUUCAUCUGUACACUUCAAUGUUGUGGAAGUUGCUUCAAUCAGUGACCUGAUCCAGGUAUUGAGUGUUAGACAAUUAGACACUUGGCUGAAUAAAUCAACAUUAAGAAAAGUAUAAGUAUAUAUGAUAUCUUAACAUAUGAUAAAUCCAACCUAACACUAUUUUCUUUUUUGUCAUUAUAAAGUUGAAGAGAAUAUGAUUUGAAAUUUCACACUUCAAAACACAUAGAAAGUUUCUUUUGCAUCUCUAGGUUUCUUCCUUUAUUUCUAUACAAAUAUUUUUUAUUUUUAUUUUUUUUAUUGCAAAAUUUGUAAUUUAUAUUUUGAGAUAUUGUAUAAUGGAAAGGUAAAAAAUGAUUUUUGAAUUAUGUAAUUUAGAAGCCAUUUUUUUCUUAAGAAUUCUGUCAAAACUAAAAUUCCUUUUUAGAUUUAUGUAACUGGAAAAUAAAAAAUGACUUCUAAAGUGUUCAAUGGGAAAAUUAAAAAUACUUUUAGAUUAUACAAACUGAAAAAUAAAUAAUUUUCUUAAAUUUAUUUUUUAUUUUUAGAUUAUACAAUUCAAAAGUUAUUUUGUGAUUAAGGUAUAAUCUAAAACUCAUUCGUUUAGAAAAAAAAAAUCUUCUGAAUUAUGUAAUAAAAAAAUAUUUUUACUUUCUUCCAUAACUAAUAAGUUAUUUUUAAUAUUUGAAUGGCAUAAUUGAAAAAAAAAAUUAUAUGGGGGUGUAAGAAGAAACUUAUAAAUGCGCAGGAAAAAUCUACCACAUUAUACAUACAUUUAAUAAAUGAGUGGUCGACUAGGUCUUCGUAUUUUUUUUAUUGACAUGUUUAAAUCAGUCCACGUCAACUUAGGUAGUAUGAGGUCAAAUAAUGAAUAUCUAAUUUGAUAACCAACUUGUAUCUAAACAACAAUUUGCUAAGGAAAGAUAAUGUAAUUACAUAUUUACGUUAAAAAGUCAAUCCAAAGGUUUUUAAGUAGAAAGAGUAUUAUAAAUCAUAACCUCCCAUAAAAGAAUUCUGCUUUCAAUAUUUUUCUAAUUGUGAUGAUGGUUAGAUUAUUUUUAUUAAAAAUAAUACACUAGCAAUAAAAAGACGUGUACAUCUACGUAGAAAAUUUCGGUGCAAAGGUUUCUAAAUAGGAAAGCUUAUUAUGAAAAGAAUUCUAUUUUAAAUAUAUUUGUAAUUGUAAUAGUCUAUAUAUCAACUGAAGUCCUUCAACAAGUUGAUGUAGACUUACAAUAAGAAUUGGCUACAACCAUCUUUGAUGAUCAUGUUGGUGUUUAGAAGACCUCAUCUUAUAUCCAACCCUCUCCUAGUUUAUCAUCAUAUCAACAUAACUCUCAAAUUUCAUUAUUGCCUUUUAGCUAGUUUUUGUCUUCUAUCUCCUUACCCAACAAUAUGUUAAAAAGCAAGCGUGAAAAAUAACAUAUAGAAGCACAAAAAACAGAGUAAGUUUUAAAAUCUCACAUACAUAUAAGAUCUCAUGCAUACACAUUUAAUUCAUAAAUUUAAUUCAUUCAUUAAACAUGUAAGAAUCAAAUGUCUAACUCUAAGUCCAUUGAUUACAUCUCACGUCAUAAAUGAUUCAUAUCAAUAUCACAAAUACUUCACUUUUCUUUCCAAAGAAUGUGUUAAGUUACAUUUAAAGAUUUACAUUUAUCACACUAUCCGUACUAAGUUGUCAUAAACAAUAAAGCUACAUAGUAGGAUUCCAUCAACUCAUGUGAAAAGGUGAAUUCAUAUCACUAAUAGAGAUGCCAAAAAAAUAUCUACGAGCACGGAUAUCCGUGAGUUGGAUACAGAUAAUAUACUAUUAAAAAAAAAUUAAUUUAUAUAUUUUUAAGUAAAUUUAAUUAAAAAUAAAAUAAAAUUAUAUUUUAUUAAGCUAAAUUUAAUUAAAAUUAAAUUUUAAUUUAUAUUUAAUUUAAUUUAUAUUAUAUAUAUACAUUUAUAAAAUAUUUUUAUUUUUACUUUUUACGAGUAUCUACGGGUAUCCAUUGGUUUUAAAAUACUUGUAGGUAUUUUCUAAAUGGUAGGUAUUUUCUAAAUGGAUACCUGACGUGUAAUGGGUUGGGUAGUAGGUACAGUUUUAUCCGAUUGAUCGAGUUACGGGUAGACAUUAUCCGUUCCCGACCCGAUCCAUCGUCAUCCCCAAUCAGUACUUGUUAUUUUUCUCCAAUAUAAGUUUCAAUAUCCCCUUCCAGGAAAUAACUGUGUAUAAAACAUUGUAUGUCAUAUCACAAUCUUCACAUAAUAUAUUUGUAUGCGUAUACAUUUCACCUUAACUAAUAAUAAAUUUCAUUUCAUCAUCAUAUUAUAAUAAUAUUCAAGUAUAAUAUGUUGAUAAAAAAAUAGAAAUUGGCUUUUACAAAUAUUUCAAAAAAUAAGUCAAAUAGGAUUAUGUAUUGCUCUUAUUUAUAUUAUGCUAAAAUAGAAACUCUUCCUAUUACAAUGAGAUGAGGAUAACCACGUAUGUAAAGUUCUUGUAUCUGUCUAACGUCUUUCUACUUCGUGCUCUGGUAAUCAAUUGGUGUGUGGGGGGGUGACCUGUAAAAUCUUUCUUUAUAUGUCUUUAGUAAUUCAACAGUAAGUCAAAGCGAGUUUACCUCAAAAUUAAACCCUUAUUUAUAAAGUUUAUAAGAAUCUGACCAAUUAAUUUACCUUUUAAUGAUCAUUAAUGCAACCUUAACCACUAAUCAGUAGCUGUUGUAACAUUAAUUGUGUCUUAACUCUAUUCAACUGUUGUAAGAACCGAGCGACUGUGAGGCGCUUUCUUGUACAUUACCUGUUCGAUCCUUUCAAUCCAGUUUGUCCUCGUGUCCGAUCGAUCGACUAUAAGCCCAUAGUAACAUAGGCCGCCUAAGCCCUAAAAAGAUGUUUAUAUGUUGCGUAAGGUUUUUCCUAGUCUUACCGAUCGGUAUAGGGAUCUUCAACAUCACGUUAUGUCCCUUCAGGAUCUGCAAAAAUGGUGAGAAGAGCGAAAGACGAAGAGUUACGACUGUAAGAAAGGGUGGGAAAAGGUAGAAACGUAACGUCAUGACGUUUGAACCGUCAGAUCUUUUCCUUUUGGAUGUCCUAGAUGGGUUUGAUGAAACUCCUUCACCAUCUAUAAAUAGUGGUAGGGUCACCCCAUAUUUUCACUUUUACCCUCGAUCUCUCUAGCAACCGAAUGUCCUUCUUGCUCUUCCCCUCUCAAAAGUUCUUAACUCUCUACUACCAGGUAUAUAUUUCUUCUUCAAGCUUUAAGCCUCUAUCGACAAAAUCAAUAAUCAUGCUAUUGAAAGAGUUAAACAAAGCAAGCAUACAGUGGAAGUAUGCCGCAUCAAUGGCAUUCCUGAGUCUCUCAAAUGGGGGAACUGCAGUGUUCACCCUAGCCUACUGGCACAAAAAAGUGAUCAAAGAUGGAUGCCCCAAUGGCAUCCUGCUACUAAUAGUCAUAGCACAACUCCUAAUCUCGUCGGCAAUGAUUUGGCAGACAUUUACCUCUAUCUGUCUCAUUAAGCAGAAAAUGAGACGAACCCUGUGAAUCGUGAUACUUGAGAUAUGGGAGCACGGUUGGAUGUUGGAAUGUGUGAACGCCAUCCAGUAUCUAGCUAAUGGUGUCAUAUCCAACCGUCGAAUGUUCACCGGCGCACCGCUAGCGUUGGUCUGAAAGUGUCUACCAGGGAGACGCACAACCUCCUCAAUGUCAGCUAUAUCAUCAAGCACACCAGAAUCUGUCGCAUACUGACAUCGCUCCCCUGGCCACUCUGUUCCCAAGAAGCUGUUAAUGGUGUCGGGGUCAUAACUGAUAGUCUUCCCCCUCACAAAACUCAUAUAUCGCCCAACAGCCGCUCCUCCUCUAGGCGCCGCAUUGGUGUAGAAUUCCUUCACCAACUCCACACUGGCUGGUGCCGGGUAAGUCGUCAGUUUCUCCCAAUCUCUCCUCAAAAUCUCCUCCUCAAAUUCAGGAACCAAGUCAGGUAAAAAGGAGGUUUUCCUCUCCAUAAACAAUCUCCUUUCUUGUACAGUAGCAAAGUGUUCGUCAUGCUGCUUGGAGAGGAACCUUUGAGAGUCAAAUCCUCUUGAGCUUUUUGGCAUCUUCCUUUUGCCUCCAGUGUUUCUUGUCUGGCGCGAUGCUGAAGCCAUUUCUGCAACAAAUACAAUAUGCCAAGAACCACAGAAAUCUAUUGUCAGGAGUUAAUGCAUCAACAAAGUAUUAGACCCAACAAAAUUUUCACAAUGAGUGCCCAGGUUCCCCCUAUUCAAAAUGCAAAUAAACCACAAGAACGCAGCAGACCGCCCGGCGGUACAGAGGCUUACUGCCCGGCGGUGAGAGGGUUUUUGAAAAUUUUUCACCAAACCAACCCUAAUCUCCAAUCAACUACUAAUUCCUAACAUGCACUUCAAUUCCAAACAGUUUAAUCGGUCCAAAACAGUUCCCAAUUCAACAAUUCAUGCAAAGAAUCUCAAAACCCUAAGUUACCUAAUUUCUAAACAUGCUCAUCAAGAAUUUCAAAAUCAAGAACUUAACAAUUGAAAUUUUACAACUUACUUGAGUGGAGAUAUGAAUGCUAGCAACUAUUCCUUCAAAACAUGAUGGAAAACUCUAAAAACACACUCCCACCAAGAAAAACCCCAAAUAUGAGCAAGAACUAAAACCCUUUUGUGAAAGGGUAUUGGGAAAGUGUAUAGAAAUCUCUCUAAAACCCUCUAGGGAGUGCAAUUCUGGAGCAAAGAAGCAAGGAGAACGCCUGGCGAAACUCAAAGGAGCAAGAACAAGUGAGGAAGUCUUGAAAAUACCCAGCUUUUAAAGAGCUCGGGUUCCAUUGUCCGCUGUGACACCCGGGCACUGACGAGGGCGGGGAGUGAUCGCCGAUGCAAGAGGCAUGGUGCAGGGGUAUGGACAAGGAGCGGCUCCUGGCAGGCUUCCAAUGGAAGGGGUACAUGGACGAAUCGAACAUACACCGGAAUGAGAGGGAUCUAGAGACUGUAUAGGUAUGGGACUAUACAGUUGAAGGAUAACUUAAAGGAAUUGAUUUGGCUACUNNNNNNNNNNNNNNNNNNNNNNNNNNNNNNNNNNNNNNNNNNNNNNNNNNNNNNNNNNNNNNNNNNNNNNNNNNNNNNNNNNNNNNNNNNNNNNNNNNNNNNNNNNNNNNNNNNNNNNNNNNNNNNNNNNNNNNNNNNNNNNNNNNNNNNNNNNNNNNNNNNNNNNNNNNNNNNNNNNNNNNNNNNNNNNNNNNNNNNNNNNNNNNNNNNNNNNNNNNNNNNNNNNNNNNNNNNNNNNNNNNNNNNNNNNNNNNNNNNNNNNNNNNNNNNNNNNNNNNNNNNNNNNNNNNNNNNNNNNNNNNNNNNNNNNNNNNNNNNNNNNNNNNNNNNNNNNNNNNNNNNNNNNNNNNNNNNNNNNNNNNNNNNNNNNNNNNNNNNNNNNNNNNNNNNNNNNNNNNNNNNNNNNNNNNNNNNNNNNNNNNNNNNNNNNNNNNNNNNNNNNNNNNNNNNNNNNNNNNNNNNNNNNNNNNNNNNNNNNNNNNNNNNNNNNNNNNNNNNNNNNNNNNNNNNNNNNNNNNNNNNNNNNNNNNNNNNNNNNNNNNNNNNNNNNNNNNNNNNNNNNNNNNNNNNNNNNNNNNNNNNNNNNNNNNNNNNNNNNNNNNNNNNNNNNNNNNNNNNNNNNNNNNNNNNNNNNNNNNNNNNNNNNNNNNNNNNNNNNNNNNNNNNNNNNNNNNNNNNNNNNNNNNNNNNNNNNNNNNNNNNNNNNNNNNNNNNNNNNNNNNNNNNNNNNNNNNNNNNNNNNNNNNNNNNNNNNNNNNNNNNNNNUGGGAUGGGUGACCUUCCGGGAAGUUUUCUCGGAAAGUGUGUGAGUGAGGACAAAGCACACUGGAAAGCCUCGUGUUGAUGUGUGGGGGCAGUCAGCAGUCCUUGUAAGUUGCCGGGGCGUUACAUUCGCCGCCACCGCCCGGCGGCAAAGUGGUACCGCCCGACGGUGGCUUAAAAUUCUUCUUCCCCCUUUUCUUGUUUUCCUCUUUGUGAUUUCUCCUGAUGACUCCUGAUCUAUGCCCUAGAUUUCCCAAUCACAAUAUUUUUCUCACUCAAAUGCAUGUGCUCACACAGAGAGUAAUAAACAGAAUUUUGAAAAACAGAAAACAAACAAUGAAAUUCAAGUAAUGAACAAGUAAUUGAGAAAGUCUCUCCAAACACCCAUCAGUAGGUGUCAAACUCAUUUGUGCUUAGUAUUUCCUUCUUCUUCUUCUUUAUACUAAACCUCUUCAAGAAAUUGAUCAUGCCAAGCACAUGUUUCCAUCCAUCAAUCAUAGGAGCCUUGAUCUCCAAUUUCUCAAAGAUCUCCUUGAAAAACUUAACCCUAUUUUCCUUCCUAGGGUUUUUCCUUUUAUGAGGAAAGGAUUCUUUACAUGACUUUUUUUUCUUUCCUCUCUUCCUCUUUCUCUUAAUUUUCUCCUUCCUUAACCUUCUCUUUUUCUUUUUUCUCCCUUUCUUUAUUUUCAUUUUUUUCUUUUUUUUUCUCUUUUUUUUUCUCAACCAUGGCUUUUCUUCCUCAUCUUUCUUCUCACUCUCAUUCAAUUUUUUUAUUUCUAUCUCCUCUAUAUUUUUCUCAACAACAACUUCUUCUCUUUUUGUUUCCUCUUCCAACAUCUCUCGCUCUUCUUCUUCUUUCUUUUCCUCAUUGAGAACCUUAUCAUGUGCAAAGAUAGUGGCUUGACAUUCUUCUUUAGGGUUGACUUCAGUAUCAACCUUGAUAAUGCCCAAAGCCUUCAGGGCAUGAGAGUGUUGUUCCUGCAAUAAACAUGCUUGUACUUCUCCCAAUGUUUCUUUGUGUACAGGAAAUUGUUUUUGUUGUAAACGCUGUCGGACUUCCCCCAGCGUUUCUUUUGGUACAGAGAAUAGUUCCUGCCGUAAACGUUCUUUAGCUUCCCCUAACGUUUCUUUUCGCGAAGAGUACUGAUGUCCUAAGUAGUUUCGAUAUAUAUUUGAAUAAGGGUCCC
rnacentral:lncRNA from 1 species